AGGUAGUAAUACCCUAUGAUAAAACCUAUGUAAAAUGGCGGCUCUCCUUUUGACUAGAGGAACUUGUUUAUUAAUCGAUAAUCCGCGAUAUUUUUAACUACACUACAAAGCUUGUAUACCGCCGUCAAAGGAAAUUAUUACAAAUUCCCACAACUUACUUAAAUAACUCAGGUCAAGGUGCAGCUAAUUGUGUAGUUUAAAUGAGUUACAUAUGAUCUUUAAUCAAGAAUUUGAUUCCAAAGAAUUAAUGAAACAGAAUCUAGCUACACUAUUUAAUUAAUACUUAAACAAGACCCAAACCAGAAGAGUGU
rnacentral:rRNA from 1 species